rfam:Triticum urartu cultivar G1812 contig727732, whole genome shotgun sequence.
CAACUACUCCCUCUGUCCCAAAUUUCUUGUCUUAGAUUUGUCUAGAUACGGAAGUAUCUAGUACUAAAAUGUGACUUGAUACAUCCGUAUCUAGACAAAUCUAAGACAAGAAUUUUAGGACAGAGGGAGUACUUU